rnacentral:lncRNA from 1 species
UUUAUUGAUGAAGAAGGGUGUAGAAGUAUUUUUGUGGUUUUUUUUUUGUAGAGAAAGGACAGGAAUGUUUUUGUGUUUUUUGUUUAUUAUGACUGGGCCAUAUAGAAUAUGGUUGCCUACGUACUCCCGUGUAUCAGGGAGAUCAGGUCGACGUAGUUCACCCCUCAGGAUGAAUUGCAGUUGAAGAGAAGUGUGAAUCCCAUGUGCAUGCUAUACUGCGGGGAGAAGAAAGUUUGAUACCAUGAUGGGGACAAACUGUAGGUUUGGAAAAAGUUUGAUCCCGUCUUUAAGACAAACUGCAAGCGUAGAAAAGUUUAAUCCCGUCUUCAGGAUAAACUGCAGGUGUGAAAGGUUCAAUUCCGUCUUCUGGAUAACCGAAAUUGUAUGGAAGGUUUGAAAUGAGGUGAAACUAGGCUGCUGGUUUGAAGUGUAUAUUUCCCUGAGGAGCAGAAGAGUAUGUAUAAAAGGUUAGAAACCGG